GAAGAUGUGGCUCAGUGGUAGAGCACCUGCCUACGAUGCACAAGACCCUGGGUUCAAUUCCCAGUGAAUACA
rnacentral:tRNA from 1 species